rnacentral:lncRNA from 1 species
UGAAAAAUCAGGGGCAAUUACCACGGAAUACAUUAAAAUUCAAUAUAUGACCAUUUGCCUAAAUUUUGUGCAACAUGUAAUAUUUAGGGGCACAACACAAGCAAUUAUCGGAUAUUUCACCCAGAUUAAGGCCACAAAAAUGGAGCAAUAAUGAAACAAACUCACAAACAUCAAAAGAAGGUUCUCCAAAGAAGCAUAGGAAGCAACAACAAGAAGUAUUCCCUUCAAGAAAACUGACAAGCGGUAGAAUUAUUGGAGAUCCAAUUGCCCAAAAAGAAACAAAAGUCAAGCAUCAAGAUGAUAAGGAUAGGCCUACGAGUGUAACACGUAAUAACUCUAAUGCUAACAAAGAUAUUGCAAUUAAAAAUAAGUUUGACACCUUGAAUUAACACGCAGAACAACAAGUAGAGGUAGCUCAUUAAGGAGGGAAAGAUGGGGUCAACUCAGGAAAAGAAAAAUCUGAAGGUGGCGGAUUCACUUGCGAAAAAUACAGAAAUGGAUGAUAAAACUGAUGAGCUAGUGGAGGAGGUGGAAGAGAAAGAGGAGAAUUUCAAUACUCCUUUGGGAAAAGAUGAUUGUAUUUAGGGCUGGCAAUUUCAGCUCAUAUUUGUGAAAAGAGUUCAUUUAACCCAUAUUUAUUGAAUUGGAUCACUCAUAUUUCAAAUGGCUAAAUAUGAACUUCAACUCAUUUUAAAAGCUCAUACAAAUAUGGACAAAAUAGGUAAAAUAUGGGUACCCAUUUAAACACAGAAAUACCCACCUAUGCUUAAAAUUUCAGGGUUAUUUUUCUUUUCUAGUUUCUUUUCUUCUUUUCUUUUGUUUUUUCUUUCUUUUUUCCUUUAAUUUACUUUUUUUCUUUUUCAUUUUUACUCAUUUCUUAUAAUUUCUUUUUUUCUUUCUCAUUUUUCAUCUAUUUUUUUAUUUUUUUUCUUUUUUCUUUGUAUUUUUUUCGUUUUCCCCUUUCUCAUUUCACUUGAGACCUACAUGGAUUAAUUAAUUUAAGCUUCUGGUUAUUUCAUUUAGCCUAUACAAUUUAUAGCAUCUCUUAUCAAUUAAAUAUAAUUCAUAGUCUCACUCCUUUAUUAUUAUUUUUUUCUAUCUUUUAUUUCUCUUUCUUUUUUUUCUUUUCCAAUUUUUUUCUUUCUUUUUUCUUUAAUUUACUAUUUUUUCUUCUUUUUCCUUUAAUUUACUUCUUUUUCUUUUUCAUUUUUUUGUUUUUUUCCACUUAUUUUUUAUUCGUUUCUUACACUUUUUUCUUUCUUCUAUUUCAUCAUUUUUUUUCUUUUUCAAUUUUAUUUCUUUUUUCUUCGCAUUCUUUUUUUUUUUGUAUUUCCAUUUUCCCCUUUUUCAUUCUUGGUUCAUCAUGUCAUUUUUCUUUUUCUUUUUAUAUAUUUUUUUCCUCAUCUUUUUUUUCAUCGCAUUUUAUAUUUUAUAGUUUUUUUUACUUUAAAUUUAUUUGUAUCGUAUUAUAUAUUUCAAAUAAUUUUAUUAUUUGUAUUUGAAUAGCUUAGUUGUCAAUAUAUACAAUUUAUCAUUUGUAUUUUUAUACAAAUAAGUGUAUGAAUUAAUUGUAUUUUUCUCGAUACUAAAAUAUAUAAAUAUACAAUGUAUCAUUCAAUGCAAAUGUCAUUAGUAUUUGUAUAUCAAAUUUAUCAUUUAUAUUUGUAUAUAAACAAGUAUCAUUAGUAUGUGUAUGG